GAUGAAGAACGUAGCGAAAUGCGAUAAGUAAUGUGAAUUGCAGAAUUCAGUGAAUCAUCGAAUCUUUGAACGCACCUUGCGCUCUUUGGUAUUCCGAAAAGCAUGCCUGUUUGAGUGUCAUGAAAAUAUCAACCUUGACUUGGGUUUUGUGCUCUAGUCUCGGCUUGGAAUUGGGUGCUUGCCGCUUUUACGAGCGGCUCACCUUAAAUGUAUUAGCUGGAUCUGUCUUUGAGACUUGGUUUGACUUGGCGUAAUAAGUAUUUCGCUAAGGACAUUCUUCGGAGUGGCCUCGUUUCUAGGACGCUUGUCCGCUUUCCAAUACAAGUUCCACCUCGUGGACAUGACUUUUUAUUAUCUGGCCUCAAAUCAGGUAGGACUACCCGCUGAACUUAAGCAUAUCAAUAAGCGGAGGA
rnacentral:misc_RNA from 1 species